rnacentral:tRNA from 1 species
GUGACGCUGUGGCUCAGUGGUAGAGUGCUCAACUAGUACGUGUGAGGCACUGGGUUCAAUUCUCAGCACCACA